rnacentral:ncRNA from 2 species
UGAAAUUGACGUGAGCACAUCCCAGAUUAUCAAGUUUGGGAGCUGCCCCCUCCCCCAGCCUCCAGGAGCUCCCCGCUUGCUCAGGAUUGACAAAUGUGUCUCUUUCUUGGCAGACAACAGUGAGCUGGGACGGAGACAAGCUCCAGUGUGUGCAGAAGGGUGAGAAGGAGGGGCGUGGCUGGACCCAGUGGAUCGAGGGUGAUGAGCUGCACCUGGAGAUGAGAGUGGAAGGUGUGGUCUGCAAGCAAGUAUUCAAGAAGGUGCAGUGAGGCCCAGGCAGACAACCUUGUCCCAAGGAAUCAGCAGGAUGUGUGGGCCAGGAUCCCCCUCUUUGCACAGCAUGAGGCAAAAAUGUCCAGCCACCCCCAGGCAUCUGUUAGCAGAGUCUGUCUCUUGGCUUUGUCACUUUUCCUUUUCUUAAAACAAAGCCAUGCCAAUAAAGUGAUCUGUGUUCAAAACGUC